rnacentral:rRNA from 1 species
GGCCGCGGGAAUUCGAUUCAGGCCUAACACAUGCAAGUCGAGCGGUAGAGAGAAGCUUGCUUCUCUUGAGAGCGGCGGACGGGUGAGUAAUGCCUAGGAAUCUGCCCGGUAGUGGGGGAUAACGUUCGGAAACGGACGCUAAUACCGCAUACGUCCUACGGGAGAAAGCAGGGGACCUUCGGGCCUUGCGCUAUCAGAUGAGCCUAGGUCGGAUUAGCUAGUUGGUGAGGUAAUGGCUCACCAAGGCGACGAUCCGUAACUGGUCUGAGAGGAUGAUCAGUCACACUGGAACUGAGACACGGUCCAGACUCCUACGGGAGGCAGCAGUGGGGAAUAUUGGACAAUGGGCGAAAGCCUGAUCCAAAGAGGGCCGCGUGUGUGAAGAAGGUCUUCGGAUU